rnacentral:rRNA from 1 species
GAUGAACGCUGGCGGCGUGCCUAAUACAUGCAAGUCGAGCGAACAGAUGAGGAGCUUGCUCCUCUGACGUUAGCGGCGGACGGGUGAGUAACACGUGGAUAACCUACCUAUAAGACUGGGAUAACUUCGGGAAACCGGAGCUAAUACCGGAUAAUAUAUUGAACCGCAUGGUUCAAUAGUGAAAGACGGUUUUGCUGUCACUUAUAGAUGGAUCCGCGCCGCAUUAGCUAGUUGGUAAGGUAACGGCUUACCAAGGCGACGAUGCGUAGCCGACCUGAGAGGGGGAUCGGCCACACUGGAACUGAGACACGGUCCAGACUCCUACGGGAGGCAGCAGUAGGGAAUCUUCCGAAAUGGGCGAAAGCCUGACGGAGCAACGCCGCGUGAGUGAUGAAGGUCUUCGGAUCGUAAAACUCUGUUAUUAGGGAAGAACAAAUGUGUAAGUAACUAUGCACGUCUUGACGGUACCUAAUCAGAAAGCCACGGCUAACUACGU